UCCCAGUGGACAGUAGAUUCAGCUGCGCUCUAGGGAUAAGUUUUUUCCUGAGUAUCUCAUGCUGACUGCAGGAUGUCUAACUUAAAAAUGCCCGUCAAGAAUGUCAGAAAUGUGCACUGUGCUGCAAUCUGUUUAUUUUGCUGCUCUCUAAUCUAUUUGGCAAAACCCUCACUAUAUCUUAAUAAUUUCCCUUUUAUCUCUUCUUCAGCUUGUAUGAAAAUUAUGGAGGUACUUCCAGACACCUAGUAACCUACAGACAAUCUACUAAUCACAAAGCAACACCAGAGAGGAGCCCUGAGGCUGCUGAAGAGUUUCUUCAGGAGAAGAAGAAACUACAGGAGAGUUUCCAUCAGCUGAAUGGAUGACAUUUGGAACCUUCCUUUGUAAACCAGUUCCUCAAAAUUAUUAACUCGGCUCCUGAUCUCAAGACAUUAUCAAACACUUGGACACAAGAGACUGCAGUUUUCUAGAUAAUGACUAGGAGACAAAACCAGGCUCACCAGUGAUGAGCAAUGGAAUGGUGUGCCAGAACUUGAAGAAACAGCACUCACGGGAUCCCUGAGUCUGCCUCAAGAGAUGUUGGCUACAACGUACCAUUCUGAAAUGUUUCUACACCAAUGCACACAGCAUGAGGAACAAACAAGAGGAUCUCAAAGCUCUGGCCCAGUCCCAGAGAUUUCACAUCACUGGCAUAAGUGAAACCUGGUGGGAUGAGACCUAUGACUGGAGUGCCCUGUUGGAUGGUUACAGGCUCUUCAGGAGAGAUAGGUAGGGCAGAAGAGGCAGAGGAGUGGCACUGUAUGUAACAGAAAGGUUAGAAUGUAUGGAGCUCACAGUUGGCAAUGGCACCGUUGAGAGCCCCUGGGUAAGAAUCAAGGGGCAAACAAAUAAUGUGGAUGUCAUUGUGGGAGUCUGCUAUAGACCUCCUGGACAGGGCAAUGAUGCCAAUGAAUUAUUCUUUGAGGAACUAAGGGACACUUCCAAGUCAACUGCACUUGUUCUUAUGGGGGACUUCAGCUUGACAGAAAUUAACUGGCAGCAUCAUACAGUUGGUUCAACCCAGCCAGAAGAUUCCUAAAAAAUCUGUAUGACAACUUUAUGGAACCAGCCCUAAGAGAGUCAACUUGGAAGGAUGUCCUCCUUCAUCUGCUGCUUGUCAACAGAGUGGAUCUCCUGAGCAAAGUAGAGAUUGGUGGCCCUCUUGGCCACAGCGACCACAAAGGGAUCGAGUUUAAAAUCUCUGUUGACAGGAGGAAAAGUACCAGCAAAACCUCAAUGCUGGACAUGAGGAGAGCAGGCUUCAGGCUGCUCAGGGAAUUAGUAAG